UGUAGCUCAGAGGUAGAGUACUUGUCUAACAUAUGUGAGGCCUUGGGUUCAAUUCCCAGCA
rnacentral:tRNA from 1 species